UCAUGUGCGGCUGCCUCCUGG
rnacentral:misc_RNA from 1 species